rnacentral:rRNA from 1 species
AUUGAACGCUGGCGGCAGGCUUAACACAUGCAAGUCGAGCGGGGUGAUGGUGCUUGCACUAUCACUUAGCGGCGGACGGGUGAGUAAUGCUUAGGAAUCUGCCUAUUAGUGGGGGACAACAUCUCGAAAGGGAUGCUAAUACCGCAUACGUCCUACGGGAGAAAGCAGGGGAUCACUUGUGACCUUGCGCUAAUAGAUGAGCCUAAGUCGGAUUAGCUAGUUGGUGGGGUAAAGGCUUACCAAGGCGACGAUCUGUAGCGGGCCUGAGAGGAUGAUCCGCCACACUGGGACUGAGACACGGCCCAGAAUCCUACGGGAAGCAGCAGUGGGGAAUAUUGGACAAUGGGGGGAACCCUGAUCCAGCCAUGCCGCGUGUGUGAAGAAGGCCUUAUGGUUGUAAAGCACUUUAAGCGAGGAGGAGGCUCUUUUGGUUAAUACCCAGGAUGAGUGGACGUUACUCGCAGAAUAAGCACCGGCUAACUCUGUGCCAGCCGCCGCCGCAGUAA